UACGAAGGGGGGCUAGCGUUGCUCGGAAUCACUGGGCGUAAAGGGUGCGUAGGCGGGUCUUUUAAGUCAGGGGUGAAAUCCUGGAGCUCAACUCCAGAACUGCCUUUGAUACUGAGGAUCUCGAGUUCGGGAGAGGUGAGUGGAACUGCGAGUGUAGAGGUGAAAUUCGUAGAUAUUCGCAAGAACACCAGUGGCGAAGGCGGCUCACUGGCCCGAUACUGACGCUGAGGCACGAAAGCGUGGGGAACACAAGAGGUAGU
rnacentral:rRNA from 1 species